rnacentral:rRNA from 1 species
UACGUAGGGCGCGAGCGUUGUCCGGAAUUAUUGGGCGUAAAGAGCUCGUAGGCGGCUUGUCGCGUCGGUUGUGAAAGCCCGGGGCUUAACUCCGGGUCUGCAGUCGAUACGGGCAGGCUAGAGUUCGGUAGGGGAGAUCGGAAUUCCUGGUGUAGCGGUGAAAUGCGCAGAUAUCAGGAGGAACACCGGUGGCGAAGGCGGAUCUCUGGGCCGAUACUGACGCUGAGGAGCGAAAGCGUGGGGAGCGAACAGG